rnacentral:lncRNA from 1 species
UUGUUUUUGCGAAGAAACAGGAAACGAUGUCGGUGUUCGACGCUGCUAUCGUCAACACGGAGCUUUCCAAACCGACGUCGAUCUUCGGUCUCCGGCUAUGGGUCGUCAUCGGAAUCUUACUCGGAUCUCUAAUCGUCAUCGCCCUCUUCCUCCUCUCCCUCUGCCUCACCUCCCGCCGCAAAAACCGCAAACCGCGAGCCGACUUCGCCUCCGCCGCCGUGGCAACGCCGCCGAUUUCGAAGGAGAUUAAGGAGAUCGUUCCGGCGCCGGCGGAGAUCCAGGUGGACAUAGGGAAGAUGGAGCACAGAGUGGUGUUCUCGGAUCGAGUGUCGAGCGGGGAGAGCAGAGGAACGGCGAGUGCGAGCGAGACGGCGUCGUAUUCGGGGAGCGGGAACGUGGGGCCGGAGGUGUCGCAUCUGGGAUGGGGGAGGUGGUAUACUCUGAGGGAGCUCGAGGCGGCCACGAAUGGGCUGUGUGAGGAGAAUGUGAUCGGAGAAGGCGGUUACGGGAUAGUGUAUCGUGGGGUGUUAACCGACGGUACUAAAGUCGCCGUCAAGAACUUGCUUAAUAACAGGUAAACAAAUUGAUCCAUUACUCAUUUCUAGAUUUAUGUGUAGAGCCCGAGGGAGAUGAGUGACAGCGAUCAGAGUCAAUUCACUGCCGUGCGUAUGAUUGUGGUCCUUGAAAGUUGUUGUUUUUGUUAUUGAAUUCAUCAUAUGUAUAGAUGAUGAUGUCAUGCGUCACAUGUGGUUUUGAUGACUAAUAAGUAAAUACUAUGCUUUUGGAUUUAGAUCUCUCUAUAUCAAGUGUAAGAUUUGUAAGUGUUUCUUAUAAUAAUUAUUACAGGGGACAGGCAGAGAAGGAAUUCAAAGUAGAAGUGGAAGUGAUUGGGCGUGUACGGCACAAGAAUCUCGUUAGGCUUUUAGGUUAUUGCGUUGAAGGUGCUUACAGGUAAAAUGCUGAUGCUCAUUUCUCCUUCUUUUUUUUUUUUAAUUUGGGAAGAAACCAAUGUUGUGAUCUGAUGUGUGAGUUCUGUCUACUUACAGGAUGCUAGUGUAUGACUUUGUGGAUAAUGGCAAUUUGGAGCAAUGGAUUCACGGUGAUGUUGGUGAUGUGAGCCCUCUAACUUGGGAUAUUCGUAUGAACAUCAUACUAGGGAUGGCUAAAGGGUAAUUUUUUUAUAAUUAUUUUAAGUAAAAAUAGAUUCAUCUCUAUGUUUGUAACAUUGUAAAUAUUUGGUGUAGAUUGGCGUAUCUACACGAGGGUCUUGAACCAAAAGUGGUACAUCGGGAUAUAAAAUCGGGGAAUAUAUUGCUUGAUCGCCAAUGGAAUGCUAAGGUUUCGGAUUUUGGACUUGCUAAGCUCUUGGGUUCCGACAGCAGUUAUGUGACCACCCGUGUCAUGGGAACCUUCGGGUAAAACUCUCUCCUCCUGAAUCAUCAUGCUAUAAAAGCCUUUAUAAAUCUGAAUCUUUAGGAAAUAACUUGUCACUUGUUCAGUUAUGUAGCGCCGGAAUAUGCAUGCACCGGAAUGUUAAACGAGAAGAGUGACAUCUACAGCUUUGGAAUAUUAAUCAUGGAGAUCAUCACUGGUAGAAACCCUGUUGAUUAUAGUCGCCCUCAAGGAGAGGUAUGUGUUUAUUGGUGGAUUCUUACACCCUCCUUGUUUCUAUUCCCUCUAUGUUUUUCUUAUACAUGUUUUUUUUUUCUCUGUGUGUGGGGUUUAUAGACGAAUCUAGUGGACUGGCUGAAAACAAUGGUAGGAAACCGAAGAUCAGAAGAAGUAGUUGAUCCCAAAAUAGCGGAACCACCAUCAUCGAAGGCUCUUAAACGAGUGUUGCUCGUUGCUUUGCGUUGUGUUGAUCCAGAUGCAAACAAGAGACCUAAAAUGGGACAUAUCAUUCAUAUGCUUGAAGCUGAAGACUCACUCUAUCGCGAUGUAAGCCAUUUUUUUUGUCUUUAUUAUAUUUUUUAUGAGUUAAAAUAAUUGUCUAAUGGUGAGACGAUGUUUUUUUUUGCAGGAACGCCGAACAACGAGGGACCAUGGAAACAGAGAUAAGCAAGAGACAGCGGCUACUGAAAGCGGGGAGAGCGGCUCGCGGCAUCACCAGCAAAAGCUAAGAUGAACAAAAGGAUCAUCAUUUUAAGUGACUUUGCUUCUCACACACGACCAAUUCCCACUUCAAUUGAUUCUUAUUAUUAUUAGUUUUGUGUCACAUUCACAUACAUAAAUAUUUUUCAUUCUUUGGCUCUUGAGUUACGUCUAAUUAACCUUUUUGUUUUUCCUUUUUGUAAUAUUUUGUCAACGUUCACAUAUCACAUGUCAUAUAUAUAUAUAUAAAAAUUGGAGUAUAAAAUGUAAUUGUUUUGGACCAACAUCGACGCUAUGUGCGUGCCGUUGCAUAACACGAUUGGUGGAUGGAUCAAAACUUAUCGCUUUAAGAACCGGUAUGGGUGCCCACAGGAUGCUUUAAGCUCGCGUGAUUGUGUUUCUAAACAAUUUAAGUAUUGUCGUGUGUAUGACCCCACUCCACUAGAUUAUGGACCUAAUGUAUAUGCGACUAUGAUCUUUAAAAUUUCCAAGUUGCAGUAAUUUUAAAUAGAUUAAAAUUUUAUAAUGAAAUUGGAUGACUAGCUUGUGAACACAAGAUAAGAGCACAGUCGUCACCCGAGCGACGACUCUGGAGUCUCUUCACGUGUAGGAGAAAAACUAAGAGGUAGACGACAUACAAUUUGAUAAAGGGUGAAAGAAAAUAUCGUGGUUCCAUUAUGUUCCAGACAUGAUUUGAUCAUUUUGAGAUUUCAUUAUCCAGGACCUUUGUUACCUAGCAGCUUGGCGUCCCAAACCACUUGGUUUGGUACCUUACUCGGAUCUCUAAUCGUCAUCGCCCUCUUCCUCCUCUCCCUCUGCCUCACCUCCCGCCGCAAAAACCGCAAACCGCGAGCCGACUUCGCCUCCGCCGCCGUGGCAACGCCGCCGAUUUCGAAGGAGAUUAAGGAGAUCGUUCCGGCGCCGGCGGAGAUCCAGGUGGACAUAGGGAAGAUGGAGCAC